UGAAGCCCAAAGAGGUUAAGCAAGUAUUCCUAGUUCCCAGAGCUGGAGCCCAGCAGAGGAGCCUGGAACCAGGCCGGGAAACUGCAGCGCAGGGGACCUAACCAUGGAGCUCGGCUGUAGCAACACCUGGCCAGUUACCUGGGGCAGGACUGUGUGGCUGUUUAUUUUUAAUGGCUGGCAAAUGGAAAUGAAACGAUUCAGUGUAAUGACUGGGGAUGAACAAACAAGAUGGCUCCUGGAAUGUGGUGAGAGAUCAAUGAUUUCCAUUGUGCUGAAACAAGUUCUUUGUAUCCUGCAUUCAACUUUCCACCUCGCAGAACAUUGGGAAAGCAGGGUAAACACCAGCUAAAUCAACAGUGCCUUCUGUGGUAAAGGUCUGUGAGGAGCAAACACUGAGGACCUGUGUUUUCCGGCGCAUCCUUUGCUCUCUUCCCUCCACCUCUGUUUUCCAUGGGGGCUAAAUAGGAAUAGGGUGGAAGGCUCUUGGUGGUGGUUCUGGCUCAGUUUGGAAGUUAUGUGACUGGGAUCAAGGGAGCAGAAGGUGGCUCUUGGGAAAGUGUCCUCCUUUCCUUGGCUGGAGACCUCGGGCUCACCAGGGAGAAUGGCACCAGUCAGAGGUUAAAGGUAAAAGUUUUAUACACACGCAGAGAUGUGUCACCAGUCCCACAUGAGACUUUUGGGGUUCACCUCUUGUAUGAAGAGCUCUGGAAAAAUGAUGCUCCCAACACCGCCUGGAGAUGGUAUGGAUUAUUGGACCAAUCAUGGGAUUUGGGGACAGUCCGAGCCAAGUUCUGGCUCCACCACUUACUACCACUGAGAUGUCUGGGUAGAGGCUGCUGUGAUGAGCCGCCCAGAUCCUCCUUCAGGACCGAGGUUCUCAUUCGUUCAGCUGCUGACAGUGCUGGCUGCUGAAGGCUCGUGACUCUGUUUCCCUGAAGAUUGUUGUCUGCUGAAGGAAGCUGCCUCACCCAAAGUUACAACCCCUCUGCGAGAAGUCCAUAACCAAUGGCUGGUUGACACGGGGGAACAGAAGACUGGUCCCCCUUGCUUCUUUGGCACAUCUGAGUUUCAGAGCACCCUUUGGGACCUGAGGUUGCAGU